rnacentral:rRNA from 1 species
GUUAAGGCCAUUUUUGUGGCUAGUACUUCAAUCAAGAUUGGGAAUGGAAAAUCCUUCAGUUUUUGGCAUGACCAUUGGCUGCAUGGUGAGAUCCCCUCGGUUUCCUUCCCGUUAUUUUACAAGCAUUGUAAUAGGCGCCAGAUCACUGUCUCUGAAGGUCUCACGGAUAAUCUCUGGAUUUGGCUCAUCAAGCGCAAUCCUGAUGAGGCUGUUCUAAGAGAAUUUGUUGACUUAUGGCACAGAUUACAAAGCUUCAACAUCUCUGAAUUGGAAGAUGAAAAUUGUUGGAAAUGGACUGCGAAUGGAACUUAUUGCACACAAUCUACAUACCACUUACAGUUUUAUGGCAGAGUCAGCUCUCCUUUCUUGAACAUCAUUUGGCAGAUCAAAAUCCCCCCAAAAAUAAAGAUGUUUGCUUGGCUGGCUGUGCAAGGAAAGUGUCUUACGGCUGACAACCUUGCAAGGAGAAAAUGGCCCCAUGACCCGGUCUGCCCCCUCUGCAGAAUUGGCCUCGAAUCCGCUCACCACCUCUUUGCUGAUUGCCCAUUCACAGCUGGUGUUUGGGGUUUCUGCCUGACAAAAUUU